rnacentral:rRNA from 1 species
UACGUAGGUGGCAAGCGUUAUCCGGAUUUACUGGGUGUAAAGGGCGUGUAGGCGGGAGUGCAAGUCAGAUGUGAAAACCACGGGCUCAACCUGUGGCCUGCAUUUGAAACUGUACUUCUUGAGUACUGGAGAGGCAGACGGAAUUCCUAGUGUAGCGGUGAAAUGCGUAGAUAUUAGGAGGAACACCAGUGGCGAAGGCGGUCUGCUGGACAGCAACUGACGCUGAGGCGCGAAGGCGUGGGGAGCAAACAGG